AAUUCUGUGUCCAUAUAACACAUGCCUUCUUGGUUAGUCUUCUAUCACAGUGAUCUAUGUGGUCUACUAUUUUUAAAAUAAUGGGAGAAUAGAGCUCAACUUGAGUAGGUCCAGUUAGGGAAUUACUGUAUAUUGAACAAAUGUAGUUGUCUCCAAAGAGAUUGAGAAGGGAAUCUUUGUCCGAUUGAGUAAAAAUAAUGACUAAUAAGUUCUAGUAAAAGUUUAGUGCUCUGUCUGCUAAGUAAACUGUUCAAAUGAUGUCUUUCAUUGAGUUAUUAGCGAUGAACCUCCUGCAGCGAAUUAUACAUUUGCCGCAAACCUUGGCUUGGGCAGUCAAUUAUGACCCUAAAUAGGAAGUCGAAACAAGAUUAUUUGGCUUUAUAUCCCCAUUGAGCCAGGUUAAUUCAGGGUGGUUGGUGUACGACAAUAUUAUUUGUUAUCUUUAUUCGUUUUUCUGUAUGUUCAGUUAGAGGCGUUCAUCCUAGAGUUCUCUCUUUAAUAUUCUUAUGCACUUUAUGCAGGUCAGCAGUGGGGAUAGAAAUCAGCGCAUGAAGGAGGCCCUGACUACUAUGGGCGCUUCUGUAUUCAGGUUUGACAUUCUCUUAUACUAUUGGGGAAGAUAUAAUGGAUUAUGUCUUCUGAUCUCUCUUUAUGUUAGAGCACGUUUAAAAAAUCCUUUUGUUUUUGCUUCUCCAUUUUACCAAUUCAGUGAAACUAUCUUUAAUCAAGUCUACUUGUUGACUUUUAUCAAUAGGAUUAAAAAUAGUGAGUCAG
rnacentral:lncRNA from 1 species